GAUGAACGCUGGCGGCGUGCCUAAUACAUGCAAGUCGAGCGAACGGACGAUUAUUUUGCUUCUCUUAUGUUAGCGGCGGACGGGUGAGUAACACGUGGAUAACCUACCUAUAAGACUGGGAUAAUUUCGGGAAACCGUAGCUAAUACCAGUUAAUAUUUUGAACAUCAUGUUUUAAUAAUAAAUGUCGGUCUUGCUAUCACGUAUUGCUUGAUCCGCGCUGGAUUAGCUAGUUGGUACGGUACCGGCGGACCAAGGCAACGAUGCGUAGCCGACUUGCGAGGAUGAGUGGCCAGCCUGGAACUGAGACACGGUCCAGGCUCAUACGGAAGGCAGCAGUAGGGAUUCGUCCGCAAUGAGCGAAAAACUGACGGAGAUACGCCGCGUGAGUGAUGAAGGUAUUCGGAUCGUAAAACUCUGUUAUUAGGAAAGAACAUAUGUGUAAGUAACGGUGCAAAACUUGACGGUACCAAAACAAAAAGCCACGGCUAACUACGUG
rnacentral:rRNA from 1 species